CAAUCAUGGAAACACCUACAAACAUUCUUUAGGACUAUAAUAAGAAAUGGACUAGUGCUAUCAGAAAAGGUAAUAGAACCUUUCCAAAUUAAAAUCCAAUAAGAACAUAACAUCAUACUCUCUUAAGAUCAAGUCCUAGAGUUAGUGUUAGGUUCCGACCAUGUAGUAGAAAGUAAUUUUUAAAAUUUUAAAAUCAUACAAAUCAGUAACUUUAUCAAAUAAAACUAUCGAG
rnacentral:lncRNA from 1 species